CUGCAGAGAUGGGAAUACAACAACUAAGCAAUCAGGGGCAUUUCAGUUGCUUAGCGUGAAGCCAAAGACUUGCUGCGUAACCUUGGGUCUGUGGAUCAAAGCUGCUGCAUGUAUUUUUUUAAAGAAAGGAGCAAUGAAAGAAGAGCCAAAAGAAGGAAGGAGUGAAUGGAAAGAGCAACUCCCCUUCAAGGCCUAAAGGGUGGAAAGAUGAAGAAAGAUCCAUCUCCACAGGAGCUCACUGAGUGUGCUUGGAAGGCAGGGAACAGGAAUCCAGCAGCUCACAGACCAGGGUGCAGCAGAAGGAUGGGAGCUGAUGCGAGGCACUACCACAGGAACCACCAUCGGGGACCAGAAUCUCGUUGUGUAAGUCAUUAUGUGCACACACUUAUGUAAGAAAAAACUCUCUUACCUCUUCUCCUGGGAGGAAUUUAUAGGCUAAAACACAAGAAAACAGGUGGAAACAGACAGACAGGAGAGUACUGGCACGGAAAAGGCAGUACUGCCCAGUUCUGUGCACUGGGGGGAGCCUCCCUUGCUCCAGGCUUACAGAGAACCGUGGCCAAAAAAUCUCUGGUCUCUUUUGGGGUUACUAAUCAUCACCAUGGUACCAGCAAUACACAGUUCAUAUGUGCAAAGCUCCUGGGACAUACACGGAAUUAAAACACUGAGAAACAGAUCCUGACCCACCAGCAGAAAAUGCUCAAAUCACGCCUUCAGGCUUUUCUAACAACUGCGUACUUGAGUCUCUCUCUAAAUAUCAUUGGUUGCAAGUAUUUGAUACAAAGCUAUGCCAGGAAGCACUUUUGCUUGGUUUUGUUUUACUGUGGAUGCAGAAUGCUGCCUAAAAAAUCACCAGCUAGAAAUACUAGACUGCCGUGGCUGCGCGGCCUGGAUUUUUCUUCUAGCACCAUGAGAUUUCAGACGGGUGUGCUUCUUGGAUUGCUAUGCCUGGUAUGCACUGGAUUUGAUUAUAGGUUUUCUUGCACUUCUGUCUUCAUUAGUUCUACAUCACAGAGUGCGUGGAAUGCAUGCAUUGCCAGCCCAAGAAAAUUAAGAUGUGACAUUGUUUCUCAAGGACAUAUGCUUGGGGCAUAUGUUUUUCCCUACUUCUCCUCUAUCAAUGCAUAAAUCCCAAAUGGAGCUAUCAACAAAAAUAAACAGAACAGUGCUGACCCAGUUUAAGGGUUUUUUUUUUCUUUCAUUCUUUUGCUUCUCAAGGCCAGAGACAGAACAGAGGCCAUGAGCAGAGCUGCCAAACACAUGCGCUUGUUGGAUGUUUUUGCCUAAAGACACUAUGAAGUGCUAAAAUAUUGAAGAUGUCAAGCAGAAAGGUUUCCUCUAGCUUUCAGAGGAGUUCUGCAAAUGGCAAUAAAAAUGUAAAAGAAGAAUGCUGAAUAAUCAAAUGUGGCUUCUUUUUUUAAAUGUAAAUAGUACAGACUGAAUGUUAGCGAGUGCAAGGUACUGAGAGCCCUUAAGGCCGAAUCCUGAAGACUUUGCACCUAGAAGCAGCCCCAGCCCUGGAUAGAAGCAGGACAAUGCUCUUCAGCCCCCUCCAGCUGGAGCAGUCAUUUCUGAGGGUAAGAAAUAUAUUGGGCCCCACUACAGAACAUCUUCAACCGUAAGCUGCAGGACUGGGCAUAUUGGCAUCGAGCUGUUGUACCAUCCAAUCCAAGCCUUGAAAUCCAGAAAUAAGCCUGACCUUUCAGCCCUUCUGUAAUGCUCUAAGUUAUUCAGGACCAGAGUUUGGAUCCAGGGCUGUUUUCUGGUCCUAAUGAUCUGUUCAGAUCUUGACUUCUCUGGGGGACUGCCAGGAAGGAGAGGCUAUUUUAGAAGUAAAUACUAGCCUCAUAUGAGCUCAGCAGCGACCCUCCAAUUCAAUCCCCAAAGGCCAAUAAACAACCACUGACUGGCAGCGACAAUCACUGCUGACAAGAGCUCGAGGACAACCCGGGACUUAAAGUCUACUCUCACUCCCCAAGCAGCAGCAUGUUGUAUUACUUCUCUUCACUGCUGUUUAUCUGUUUGGACCAUAUUUCUUCCCCUCGAUUAGGCAGCACCAAAGACGGGGUGCUCUGUCCCUAGGGCAGAGAGAUGGCAAAAAUCUGGGAUUGUAACAGCAUCCCUAAACUGUGCUGGUGGCUUUUUUUUAAUUAUUAUUAUUAUUAUUUUUGCCUGCAGAACCCGCUGAAGUAAAUACCAAGUAAUUAUGGUGUUCUGAAGUGACCUUAUGGAGCAUGUGCUCGAGUCCAUGGACCUCGGCCAAAGCUACUAUUGUGGAUUUCAUGCCAAGACUUGGGAGAACCCUGGCUCCCUCCCAUUGUUUUCUUUGGCCGGGCUCUAUGGAUUCUCGGCCUGGCAAGAAAGCCCCAUUUUAAAAGUACUGGCAAACACUGUGCAGUUUGUCACACCACGGCUUAUGAUUUAGGACCUUGAUUUAGGCUCAACACUGGGAUCUUUUGUUUAGCUGUGUUUGUACAUCAUUUGCAACUUUGUAUUAGUUAAUAAACGUCAGUCUGCUAAGAGCGUGGCAUGUCCAGUAUUGCGGUGAGGAUUUUCCCUUGAAUAUACAAUCCAUAGUGAGAAUGACUGAGUGAAAUUGAAACAGCCCUUUCCAUCAGCCGAGGGCUUAAGCUCAUGUAAACAAGGCUUUCUAACACAAUGGAUACCUCAGUGAUAAAACUAUAUUGCUGCAUACCUGGUUAAACCCAGAACUUGAGGAUACGGAUUUGCACUUCUCUUUUUUGUCUAAUUGAUUCUCUUUUUUCAGGAUUCGUCCUCAGAAAUACAGGUGAAAUUUGAGUCACUUAAAAAAAAAAUACCU